UCACUGCAGCAGGAGCACAGGCUUUGGCGCUGUGCUGUUAGCCGUGGGUUUGUUUUCCAGCCUUAUGGCUCUGUGCUGGUGGAGACCCCGAGGCUGGGGCCCACCUGCCAGCUGUGAUGUGCUGCUGGCCCAGGGCCACCCCAGGUGCUGGGGUUCGAGAUCUGGUCUGGAGCAGCCCCUUCCCAAUUGCCUUCCCUUUCCUUUUUACGCACUCAGGGUUGAUCUCUGGGGCAGAACGGCGAGCGUUGGCCUGCAGGGUGCGGACAAGAGAACCAGUGAUGAUACAACCAUGGAAAUAUUGGAGCUGUGGAAUUUUGGAAGGCCUGUGCACAGCAUACUGGGGAGCUCAUGCAGCCUGGAGCAGCAAAGGCCAUGUCCAUUCCCAUAUCAAGAUGAAUAUUAUUUCCUUCAGCCAUGCCAUGUCAUUAUGGAAGAUAGCUGGCCUUUCAGACUUCCUGAGAUUUACACAUCUACCACUUUCCUUGACAUAUACUUAUGAUCUACUAUGCAGACUGGCUGAAUGUCGUUCCCAUCCCUGGACCCCUUCCUUCUCCUUUCCUUUGGGAGCAACCCAGGGCACAGAUGGAUACAGAGGCUGUGGUGUUUUCAAGGCUGCAGCAUGUCCCAAGACUAUGAUGAGCUUGGUUAGGCCUCAUGAAGGAACAGAAAAACCUCCUUAGGGACUCCAGGAAGAGCAGGGAAGGCUUGUGGCUGUGGCAGCCAUCACUGUGCCAACCUUCCCCCAAGAGGAGCCUGGUCCAGACGUGUGGUUCCUUCCACUGGGCUGGUGUCUUAGGAGUCAGAACAAUGAGAGCCAUCUGGAAAGGUAUCUGGAGUUUCUCCUCGCUGCGGGUGCUGCUUUCACACAGCUGAGGCUGGAGAAAUGCCUACUGAAAGUUGUGCCAUUUGUUAGGGACAGACAGAAGAUGUUGACUCUUCUGCCUUCUCUGCAGGAGUUUUCUGUGCAGUGAUGCUCACCGCAGCUGUGUCUGAUUUCCUGAAUGGUGUGCAAGGACAUGUUAAGAUCCACAGUUUUUCCUCAGCAAAUUGCAACAGAAGCCUGAACAGACAAAUGGACCCUGUGGUAAGGUUCAGUGGGUCUGUCAUGAUUCCAGUGUUCCCAGUGUCACUCCUUACCUGGUACACGAAUUGCUGAGGACCUGUUUCCUGAAAUGCUCUGUAAUGGAAGAGAUCAUCAAGUAGCAUUGAAUAAGUGACCACAGUCACCUUCAGCAAGUUUUUGGACUCAACCCCAUGGCAGAACAUCCAGAAGUGGUCUUUGGUGGGUCCAGCUAGCCAUUUGGAUGCACGUCUUUUUCAACAGGCUUGUUUCUUCCUUUGCAACACAGAUGAAGAAGAGCUGUCUGCAAAGUUAAUCCAAGCUGACAAGCUUCCUUCAUAUUUUAUGUGUCCCUUAAACUCAAGCUGGGACAGAACAGACACUUUCUGCUUACAGUGCUAAUGCAAGAAUGUCUUCCCCGUGGUCACUAAGUGAGCGUAACUGUCUCUGGCAAAGGAUGGAAUGACAGCAAAAAGAAAAGGCUCAUUUUGCCCACGAGCUUUCUCAGAUACCAGACAUUCAAGAAAAAGGUGCAGAAGGUUUUGAAGUCCUGGACACAGAUGUCUCUGAGUAACUAAAAUCUACCAUGUCUACUCACAUUUUGGUGAUCAUAUUUAUACUGUGGUCAUUUCAGCCCAGGCUUCCAAGUAUGAAAAAGGCAUGUUCUGUUUUUCUUAAAUUGUUUGGGUAGGUUCUGAAAGUGACUUUUGAGGCUGUAGCUAUGGCUGGCUACUUUCAUGGUUAUAGUAGAAUGCUUGAUAAGAUAGGAAAAAUAAUGAAGGGGAGAUAUGAAGAAUAGAAGGGAUAACUGGUGACUUUGCAACUGCAGAAAUGUAAUUAACCAAAUAUGCUCAAUCCUUUAAAACCAAUGAUCGGCCACUUGUAAGGUUCUGGUUAACCUUGGCUUUUAAGUAGAGUUCUGUACUGUCUUUGUAAUCAGUAAUUCAAAAUGUUCAUACAACCAUGACACUUUUUUGUUUGUUUGUUUUGUUCGUUUUUCCCACUGUAUUUGACUGUCCAUGUCUGUUUUAACCACAUAGUGUAAAACAUAUAAGAAAAUAUUCCUUUGUACCAUGAUUUCUUAUUCUUAUCACCAGACCACGUUAAGACAGUUUGAAUCAAUUCACAAUUCCACAUGCUGUGGUUAUAAGUAAUUUGAAAGAAGAGCAGGUGGAAGGAAGAAAAUCACACACAAGAUAAAUAUGUGAGAUUUCUAUCUGGAAAGUCUUAAAUAACAAUUUCCUAUGAGAAAGAGUAUUCUAAUUUGGAAGUUUUGACAAAGUGUAGCUAUGAGCAACUCAAUUUCUUCUUAUUCAUUUUCCAUAGUCCCUUCUUUGUCCAGGCAUGUGACUUGUGUACAUAUUCGUAAUCUAUAUGCACACUUCCACAAACACACAUACAAUUUUAAGUCUUUAUGGAAAUAAUAGAGAUUCAAAAACGUCUGUCAGGGAGCUGGGGGUACACCAGGAGCUGGAGGGGACACAGCCAGGACAGCUGGUCCAGCAUGACCAAAGGGACAUACCACACCAUGGGGCACCGUGAGAUUAUUAAUUAAUUAAUUAAUACUAUUACUUUAUAAUAAUUAAUAGUGGGUUGUGAGCAACUGCAUUGUAUGUCAUUUAUUUUAUUUGUGAUUUUAUCAUAAUUAUUAACGUUAUUUUCCCUGUUAGACUAUCUUUAUCUUUCAACUCAAGAGUUUAACUUUUUGUUUUUGUUUUUGUUUUUGUUUUUUUCUUUCCCUGAUUUUUCCCCAUCCUACUGGGGGUGGGGUGAGAUGAGUGAGUGAAUGGCUGUGUGGUGUUUAGCUGCCUGCCGGGUUAAACCACAAUGACCUGUGAGGGCUGUAAUCUCUUGCAAACAUAUGAAGGAGCAGCGGAGAGCAGACUGUGAGGUCUUCUGCUUGCUUGGAGUCUGGAGAGUAGUCUGCUGGCUGGGGAGUGUUCGGCUCUUUUCAGACAAAGCUGAAACUUCCCUGUACUGAAGCCAUCCACACUUUCACCUUAGCAGUAGGUGGAGCCCCUAAAUCUGAAUCAGAAAAGGGUCAGGUCAGUUUAAAAAUACUUCCAGUAUUUUUUCCCCUUUACCACAGUUCUCUGAACAGUCUAAACAAUGCUUCUUAUCCUCAGCUACUGACAAUCACACAAAUUUAAUACAAGAUAUGUAUUUUCCAAGUCUUAAUAUGCACAUUAAGACUUGCAGAUUUCCCAGAUUAUUUAAUUUCCUCAGACAUGCAUAUGCUGAGCCAUUCAAGUUACUUUUUGAAGAUGACAAAUAUUUCCUACUGCCUUCUCUCAAGAGAAGUGAUGUUCAUAUCUUGCUCUUCCUUGCUGCAUGGAGAAGUGACCAAGCCCAUACUCAGGCAAUGGCUG